rnacentral:snRNA from 1 species
AUACUUAUCUGGCAGGGCAGCCAUUUCUCAUGUUCAUGCAGGUGGAAUAUCUAGGCUGAGAUGAGUCUAUUGUAUUUAUUCUGACUGUGCUGACUUCUGUGAUUUCCCCAAAUAUGGGAAACUCAUCUGUGGGGGAC